AUUGAACGCUGGCGGCAUGCCUUACACAUGCAAGUCGAACGGUAACGGGCCUUCGGGUGCCGACGAGUGGCGAACGGGUGAGUAAUACAUCGGAACGUGCCCGAUCGUGGGGGAUAACGAGGCGAAAGCUUUGCUAAUACCGCAUACGAUCUACGGAUGAAAGCAGGGGACCGCAAGGCCUUGCGCGGACGGAGCGGCCGAUGGCAGAUUAGGUAGUUGGUGGGAUAAAAGCUUACCAAGCCGACGAUCUGUAGCUGGUCUGAGAGGAUGAUCAGCCACACUGGGACUGAGACACGGCCCAGACUCCUACGGGAGGCAGCAGUGGGGAAUUUUGGACAAUGGGCGCAAGCCUGAUCCAGCCAUGCCGCGUGCAGGAUGAAGGCCUUCGGGUUGUAAACUGCUUUUGUACGGAACGAAAAGCCUUCUUUUAAUACAGGAGGGUCAUGACGGUACCGUAAGAAUAAGCACCGGCUAACUACGAG
rnacentral:rRNA from 1 species